rnacentral:lncRNA from 1 species
GCAAUUUGACCACAUAACAUAUAAUAUUUGUCUCUACAAACAAAACAAUAAAAGCAAAUAGAGAGAGAGAGAGAGAUUAGGUAGGUCAAUUGGGGUACCUCGGUACAACUGAGGCGUGACUAAUUGGUUACAUCAGCAGCAGACAUUAGGUAGGUCAAUUGGUCACGCUUAGGUUACGGAAGCAUCUUUUCUUUUUCUUUUUCUUUUUCUAACUGGCCUUACUUAAAUAAAAAAUAAGUAGUGCCGCUUGACACACCUACGACACCAAUAAUUUUUUUUUCAUUUUUUCUCUCACUGUGUAUACUUGUAUCUUCACAAGUAUUUUUAGAAAUACAAACCAGUGUUACUUGACACAAUGGAGGCAUUAAUAAAUAAAUGUUGUCUAAAAUUGUCAU